UUUAUAUAUGCUCAAGACCAUAUAAUCCUCUGUAUUUUGGUCCCACAACACCACAACAAGUAAGCACAUACACAUUGCUGCAAUAUUUACCAGUUUCAUUCAUCAUGUUAAAGACAGUGGGCAAAGAUGUUCAAGUAUUCAGUGAUAGUUUCCGGUUUGCAAUGUUUUUGGACUUUGGUAAUGGUUUCUGCUCUCUCCCAGGCCACAUUGUACCAACUACUAAACAAGCCACAAGGGUCGAGCUCACUAACAAUGGGCUUCUGAUUCAAAGUGGGCUAUCAAGGAAAUUGGAAUGGCCUUCCCCAAAAUUACUUUCUAUUUUUGUAUUUUGCCGAACAAGCUUCGAGUAAUGCACAUUUUUAAGUGUUUGACGAACGGGUCGAAGUUACGCAUGUCAAUUUUUUAUUUUAUUUUUCUUUUGUCUGAUGUAUCACAUUCUCGGAUUCAAUUGAAAUGGUAUUUUUAUA
rnacentral:lncRNA from 1 species